UACAGAGGUCCCAAGCGUUGUUCGGAUUCAUUGGGCGUAAAGGGUGCGUAGGCGGCGCGGUAAGUCGGGUGUGAAAUCUCGGAGCUUAACUCCGAAACUGCAUUCGAUACUGCCGUGCUUGAGGACGGGAGAGGAGACUGGAAUUUACGGUGUAGCGGUGAAAUGCGUAGAUAUCGUAAGGAAGACCAGUGGCGAAGGCGGGGCUCUGGACAGUUACUGACGCUGAGGCACGAAGGCCAGGGGAGCAAACGGG
rnacentral:rRNA from 1 species